GGAGGAAAAGAACUAACAAGGAUUCCCCUAGUAACUGCGAGUGAAGCGGGAAAAGCUCAAAUUUAAAAUCUGGCGGUCUCUGGCCGUCCGAGUUGUAAUCUAGAGAAGUGCUGCCCGCGCUGGACCGUGUACAAGUCUCCUGGGAUGGAGCGUCAUAGAGGGUGAGAAUCCCGUCUCUGACACGGACUACCAGGGCUUUGUGGUACGCUCUCAAAGAGUCGAGUUGUUUGGGAAUGCAGCUCAAAAUGGGUGGUAAAUUCCAUCUAAAGCUAAAUAUUGGCGAGAGACCGAUAGCGAACAAGUACCGUGAGGGAAAGAUGAAAAGAACUUUGGAAAGAGAGUUAAACAGUACGUGAAAUUGCUGAAAGGGAAACGCUUGAAGUCAGUCGCGUUGGCUGGGGAUCAGCCUCGCUCUUUUGCGUGGUGUACUUCCUGGUUGACGGGUCAGCAUCAGUUUUGACCGCUGGAAAAGGGCUUGAGGAAUGUGGCAGCUCAGGCUGUGUUAUAGCUUCUUGUCGCAUACAGCGGUUGGGAUUGAGGAAUUCAGCACGCCGCAAGGCCGGGUUUCGACCACGUUCGUGCUUAGGAUGCUGGCAAAAUGGCUUUA
rnacentral:rRNA from 1 species